GACGAACGCUGGCGGCGUGCCUAAUACAUGCAAGUCGAACGAGAGCAACCGGUGCUUGCACUGGUCAAUCUAGUGGCGAACGGGUGAGUAACACGUGGGUAACCUGCCCAUCAGAGGGGGAUAACAUCCGGAAACGGAUGCUAACACCGCAUAGGUCUUCGAACCGCAUGGUUUGAAGAGGAAAAGAGGCGCAAGCUUCUGCUGAUGGAUGGACCCGCGGUGCAUUAGCUAGUUGGUGAGGUAACGGCUCACCAAGGCCGUGAUGCAUAGCCGACCUGAGAGGGUGAUCGGCCACAUUGGGACUGAGACACGGCCCAAACUCCUACGGGAGGCAGCAGUAGGGAAUCUUCCGCAAUGGACGCAAGUCUGACGGAGCAACGCCGCGUGAGUGAAGAAGGUGUUCGGAUCGUAAAACUCUGUUGUUAGAGAAGAACAAGUGCUAGAGUAACUGUUAGCGCCUUGACGGUAUCUAACCAGAAAGCCACGGCUAACUACGUG
rnacentral:rRNA from 1 species